rnacentral:rRNA from 1 species
GGCUCAGGGCGAACGGCUGGCGGCGUGCUUAACACAUGCAAGUCGAGCGAUGAAGCUCUUCGGAAGUGGAUUAGCGGCGGACGGGUGAGGUAACACGUGGGUAACCUGCCUCAUAGAGGGGAAUAGCCUUCCGGAAGGAAGAUUAAUACCGCAUAAGAUUGUAAUAUCGCAUGAUAUAGCAAUUAAAGGAGUAAUCCGCUAUGAGAUGGACCCGCGUCGCAUUAGCUAGUUGGUGAGGUAACGGCUCACCAAGGCGACGAUGCGUAGCCGACCUGAGAGGGUGAUCGGCCACAUUGGGACUGAGACACGGCCCAGACUCCUACGGGAGGCAGCAGUGGGGAAUAUUGCACAAUGGGGGAAACCCUGAUGCAGACCAACGCCGCGUGAGUGAUGACGGUCUUCGGAUUGUAAAGCUCUGUCUUCAGGGACGAUAAUGACGGUACCUGAGGAGGAAGCCACGGCUAACUACGUGCCAGCCGCAGC